GACGAAAGACUUAAUUUGAACUUUUAGCAUCGACAUGUUGACAGGAACUUGAAGUCCGAAGAACCUAUGCUUGAAGAAUGUCCGGAGCAAGUUGAAGCACAAUAGAUUUUUUGUUCUGUUUGUAGUGGUUUAAAGAUUUUGUCAUUUGUACAUCGUGCUACAGUUCUAGUGUCUGUUUUUAGGAGUAGAUAAAAAUAAUGUCAUGCAAUUUGGAUGGGUAUAUUUAUAGACAUUGUGAUCCUUCGGUUCUUUGUAAUGAACAAUAAAAUUUUUUUGA